rnacentral:rRNA from 1 species
UACCUAACGUCGCCGUGCCAACCGUAAGGAGGCAGGUGCCUAGGGUAAGCUUCAUAACUGGCGCUAAGUCGUAACAAGGUAGCCGUACCGGAAGGUGCGGCUGGAUCACCUCCUUU